rnacentral:rasiRNA from 1 species
GAUGAUAAUAUAUUCAAGUUGCCG